UACGGAGGGGGCGAGCGUUAUUCGGAAUUAUUGGGCGUAAAGGGCGCGUAGGUGGCCCUGUAAGUCAAAGGUGAAAUCCCUCGGCUCAACCGGGGAAUUGCCCUUGAAACUGCAGGCUUGAGGCCGGGAGGGGGUAGCGGAAUUCCCAGUGUAGCGGUGAAAUGCGUAGAUACUGGGAGGAACACCGGUGGCGAAGGCGGCUACCUGGACCGGUUCUGACACUGAUGCGCGAAAGCGUGGGUAGCAAACAGG
rnacentral:rRNA from 1 species